GACGGGAUGGCCGAGUGGUCUAAGGCGCUGCGUUAAGGUCGCAGUCUACAUACGUAGGCGUGGGUUCGAAUCCCACUUCCGUCA
rfam:Trichinella nativa scaffold3s, whole genome shotgun sequence.